rnacentral:other from 5 species
GUUCUACUGCGGCGUUGGUGACUGCCAAUAACGUUUUUUGACUAUGCUUUGUUCUUAAGGGAACCAAAGUGUUCUGGCAGCAGUAGACCGGGCAAGUACCCGGAAACUUUAAGCCAGAGCCACGGUACCCACCUGGUUUUCACCAGGUCAUAAACUGAGGUAAGACGGCGUUGCGGUGAACUU